UUGACCUCGGAUCAGGCAGGGAUACCCGCUGAACUUAA
rnacentral:rRNA from 3 species